GGUUAAGCGACUAAGCGUACACGGUGGAUGCCCUGGCAGUCAGAGGCGAUGAAGGGCGUGCUAAUCUGCGAUAAGCGCCGGUAAGGUGAUAUGAACCGUUAUAACCGGCGAUACCCGAAUGGGGAAACCCAGUGUGAUUCGUCACACUAUCAUUAACUGAAUCCAUAGGUUAAUGAGGCGAACCGGGGGAACUGAAACAUCUAAGUACCCCGAGGAAAAGAAAUCAACCGAGAUUCCCCCAGUAGCGGCGAGCGAACGGGGAGGAGCCCAGAGCCUGAAUCAGCAUGUGUGUUAGUGGAAGCGUCUGGAAAGGCGCGCGAUACAGGGUGACAGCCCCGUACACAAAAGCGCAUGUGCUGUGAGCUCGAUGAGUAGGGCGGGACACGUGGUAUCCUGUCUGAAUAUGGGGGGACCAUCCUCCAAGGCUAAAUACUCCUGACUGACCGAUAGUGAACCAGUACCGUGAGGGAAAGGCGAAAAGAACCCCGGCGAGGGGAGUGAAAAAGAACCUGAAACCGUGUACGUACAAGCAGUGGGAGCACAGGUUUACCUGUGUGACUGCGUACCUUUUGUAUAAUGGGUCAGCGACUUAUAUUCUGUAGCAAGGUUAACCGUAUAGGGGAGCCGCAGGGAAACCGAGUCUUAA
rnacentral:rRNA from 1 species